GUAAGCAAAUUCCCGUCAUUUUCUGGAAAUAUUUUGAAACGGCGGCAAUUUGUUUACAG
rnacentral:pre_miRNA from 1 species